GGCUCCUUGUAAAAGUUUGAUGAGUGUAAGGGGUCGAACCUGCCCGGUGACUAAGUGUUAAACGGCCGCGGUACCCUAACCGUGCAAAGGUAGCAUAAUCAUUUGCCUUUUAAUUGGAGGCUUGUAUGAAUGGUUUGACGAGAGCUAAGCUGUCUCUUUUGAAAUAUCUAGAAAUUAACUUUUAGGUGAAGAGGCCUAAAUAAUAUUGAGGGACAAGAAGACCCUGUUGAGCUUUAGUGGUGUGUUGAAAUAUUUUGGGUGGUAGGCAGAGAAAAUUUGUCUUAUCUGAUAUAUGAAAUUUCAUAAUGUUUUUUCAGCAUUAAUCUUUGGUUGGGGCGACUGAGGAACACUUAGAGCUUCCUUUGGUUGAGUGUGGAAUAAGGUACUUUGAUUACAGGGAAAUUGUUGUAGUCAGACUGCGUCGGAUCCAGUGUUAUUAAUACUGAUUAGAGGAAAAAGUUACCACAGGGAUAACAGCGUAAUCUUUCUGGAGAGAUCUUAUCGAAAGGAGGGUUUGCGACCUCGAUGUUGGACUAAGAUAUCCUAAGGGUGUAGAAGCUCUUGAUGGUUGGUCUGUUCGACCAUUAAAAUCUU
rnacentral:rRNA from 1 species